UACGGAGGGAGCUAGCGUUGUUCGGAAUUACUGGGCGUAAAGCGCGCGUAGGCGGCUUUGUAAGUUAGAGGUGAAAGCCCGGGGCUCAACCCCGGAAUUGCCUUUAAGACUGCAUCGCUUGAAUCCGGGAGAGGUGAGUGGAAUUCCGAGUGUAGAGGUGGAAUUCGUAGAUAUUAGGAAGAACACCAGUGGCGAAGGCGGCUUUCUGGGCCCUACCUGACGCUGAGACGCGAAAGCGUGGGGAGCGAACCGG
rnacentral:rRNA from 1 species